GCAAACUUGGUCAUUUAGAGGAAGUAAAAGUCGUAACAAGGUUUCCGUAGGUGAACCUGCGGAAGGAUCAUCAAUAGUUCCACUAUAAUACCUUCUUGUGCACUGUUUUAUGGUACGGAUGUUCAUAUGGUAAUGUGUUUGUGUGUUUUAAUACUACUACGUUGCCAUAUGGAUGUCUAUAUGUCAUCAUUACAAACUCUGUUUAAAAUAUAUAAGUCUAAGCAUAUUUAAGCAAUGUUGUAUGUCUGUUAGCAAUAACGGAUGAAUACGUACAUCUGCCAUUAUUUUAUAAUGUCAAUACAACUUGCAGCGAUGGAUCUCUAGGCUCUGGCAUCGAUGAAGAACGCAGC
rnacentral:misc_RNA from 1 species